CACGUGUGUAUGCGUGUGUGUGUGUGUGUAUGUAUAUAUAUAUAUAUAUAUAUAUACACACACACACACACGCAUACACACGUGCU